ensembl:lncRNA
CUUCUUCCUGGCACCUCACCCAUCUGUGCCAACCAACCUGGGCUAAAAGAGGCAAAGGCAUGGCAGGAGCUCCCUAUGAAGAAGCCAGCUUGGCAGGUUUUGGGAUUGCCCCGUGGUAUUGCCCCGGGUUUGUGCGCCUAGCGAUUCCAGGGACAUCUCCAAGCCAAGGAUUUCUGUGGAGCUGGGAAGGACUUUACUCCCCAAAUUCCCUGAGUGCCAGUGCCACUCAAGGGCCGUCAGUGCCAGCCCCCGACCUCCAGAAGAGGGGCCCUCGUCCCCCCCAGCCCCUCCCACAGCUGUGUCUCCUCCAGGUGCUCUUAGCCCUCCGAGAGGUGGUCGUGGCCUUGGACAGCUGGACCGGGCUCUCCUCGCUACUCUCCAAUCUGUGCCAUGUUCUCCUCUUCUGGCUCAGCCAGGACUGGUCCGGAGAGAUGCCACAGGCAGCCUGUUCCCUUCUGGAAGGCAACGGGGAGCUGGAAACGGGAUGGGCAGGGGCCCGGGGGUAAGUCGCCCCCACGCCUUCCCUAGCCGGCCCCUUUCUUGCCCAGCCACGCCGUGACGUUCCUUGGAGGCUUCAGUUCCUCCACGUGCUCUUUUCUCGGCUCGCCAGGAAGGGGCUCGGCUCUUUCCGCUGUGCCAAGGGGGGGGGGAAGCCCACCUGCCAGGGAUCAGAAGCUGUGCCAAGCCGCCCUCCUCUGGCUACUGGGCUGGUCCUCUCAGUAGCCCCUUCCUCCCUGGGCCUGUGAAGAGGAGGACCACGGGCUUCCUUCCUCUUCGGCUGAAGGAUUCUGCCCUCGGGUAGACGUGGCAGGAGCCGUGAGUGGGGUUGGCCUUUCUCGCCCCCAACCCGUGACUGGGUCUGUCUUCCAGACUGGCGGUGGAGGUGCUGCAGACCACGCUCAGCCAAGUGAUUCCAGAGGCCACGAGGGCGAUGGAGGCAGAAAAUGCCUGGGCCCUCCUGAGAGAGCCAGAGAGCCGUCUUAAGGGGAUCGCCUCCUUGGCCAAGGCUUUGGCGGACACCAAGAACCCCCUCCUGGACAAGAUCCUGCGUCACCUCCUCCCCCUCCUGCGCUCCUCGCAGGGGGCUUCCCGAGAGCUGGUUCUGGCCUUCUGCGUGGAGCUCCCAGGGCACCCCUAUGUGCUGCGCCGGCCGGAGAUCCUCCGCCGCCUCCUGCAGUUGUGGCUGGCCGCCUCCCGAGAGGGGGAGGCCACCGUGCGGUCCCUGUCCGUGCGAGGGCUGGGGAACGUGGCCGAAGGAGCACCCCAAGAGGUAGGUGGGACCGGGGGGAGGCAAAAGGAGGCCGUGGCAGGGGGGAGGAAGCACAAGGUAUGGGGGAGGGUGAUGUGGCCGCUCAGGUCUAACAAAGCUUAUUGCAGACGGGAGAGGCGCCUUGGGCCAUCUGCGGGGAAAGGAAAAGGAGCCGAAGCAGGAGGGGCCCAGAGGAGAGGGGCGACCCGUGGGUCUGGCGGAGCCCUGCAGGUCUUCCUUCCAGGGAGCUGGGAGCUCAGCCCCUCCUGCCAAGAGAAAGGCCUUUGGGGCAUGAAGGAAGUGCCAGGGCAGCCCAGCCCUGAUGGGCAUGUGGGUUCCUUCCUUGGCAGGCCAAGAAGCACCAGGAGGACCUGCUGGCAGCCCUCCUCCAAGGCCUGGGAGACCCAGCCAGCCCGGAGGUGGCCCGGGAGAGCCUGCAUGCCCUGGGCAAAGUCUGGGGGUGCCUCGGGAGGCGGCAUGCCGGCCGCAUGCGCCAGGCGGUGGCCAGCCAGGCUUGCGAAUACCUCUGGCACGUGA